UACGUAGGGUGCAAGCGUUGUCCGGAAUUAUUGGGCGUAAAGAGCUUGUAGGCGGUUUGUCGCGUCUGCUGUGAAAUUUCGGGGCUCAACCCCGAACUUGCAGUGGGUACGGGCAGACUAGAGUGUGGUAGGGGGAGACUGGAAUUCCUGGUGUAGCGGUGAAAUGCGCAGAUAUCAGGAGGAACACCGAUGGCGAAGGCAGGUCUCUGGGCCAUAACUGACGCUGAUGCACGAAAGCUAGGGGAGCAAACAGG
rnacentral:rRNA from 1 species